UACGUAGGGUGCGAGCGUUAAUCGGAAUUACUGGGCGUAAAGCGUGCGUAGGCGGUUCGUUAAGUGCGUCGUGAAAGCCCCGGGCUCAACCUGGGAAUGGCGAUGGAAACUGGCGGGCUGGAGUAUGGCAGAGGGGGGUGGAAUUCCGCGUGUAGCAGUGAAAUGCGUAGAGAUGCGGAGGAACACCGAUGGCGAAGGCGGCCCCCUGGGCCAAUACUGACGCUCAGGCACGAAAGCGUGGGGAGCAAACAGG
rnacentral:rRNA from 1 species